GCAAAUGAGGACUUUGAGGUUUCAGACUACGAUGAUUUCUCUUCUGAUUAUAAAAAACGCAAGGUUGUUAUUAAGCGCAAUAUAGUUUGGAAUUCUGACCCCUCCUCAAAAUCAAUCUCUCUCUUGCCCUUUUAAAAUCCCCCGCCCUCACCGGCGCCCUACCCCUCCCCCUACCAUCGCCUCCAACCUUUGGCCUCGGCCUCUGAUCAUAGUGCCAGACCCAGAGCCAGAAUGGUUCCCAAAGACAGAGCUUUCUGAGGAGGAAUAAUAUGAAUGUUCUGUCUAUGGAGAGAUGCUGUUAGACCGCUACAACCAAAGUUAAGGGCACUGAUUUUGAUUUUGUGAGACUUGUGAAGAUGAUGGUAACGGUUGCCACUGGCUUAAAUGUCAAAAUUCAAUUUGAGGCCAAGCCUAGAGUUGCUGCUGAGUACACCCUGAAAACCUUUGAAGGUUUCGUGUUCGAGGAUUGUGUCUUUUAUCAUAUAGUGUGGCCUGAGAGUUGUCGACUACUAUGCCCUAAUCUUGACUACGUGUAUGAUGAAGAAUCUCGCUGUUCCAUGUGCACUUAUGAAUUGGCAAGGGACUUUGGUCCUCCAGGUUUGCCCUGACUCAGCGCUUGAUGGUUGGGUAGUGAUCGUAAUUGAUUGUAGUAACUCUCUGUUUUGUUGGUUUGACCUGCAACCAACGUUGCAAAUUUUAUAUAAUCAAAUUAUUUGUGACCCUCUCUUUUUGCUUAUUUGGUUCAAUUUACUCGAGCAUAUCCAUUUUUUUGGGAAAA